GUGGGGAAUCUUGGACAAUGGGGGCAACCCUGAUCCAGCCAUGCCGCGUGAUCGAUGAAGGCCUUAGGGUUGUAAAGAUCUUUCAGCUGGGAAGAUAAUGACGGUACCAGCAGAAGAAGCCCCGGCUAACUCCGUGCCAGCAGCCGCGGUAAUACGGAGGGGGCUAGCGUUGUUCGGAAUUACUGGGCGUAAAGCGCACGUAGGCGGAUAGUUAAGUUAGAGGUGAAAGCCCAGGGCUCAACCCUGGAACUGCCUUUAAUACUGGCUGUCUAGAGAUCGAGAGAGGUGAGUGGAAUUCCGAGUGUAGAGGUGAAAUUCGUAGAUAUUCGGAGGAACACCAGUGGCGAAGGCGGCUCACUGGCUCGAUACUGACGCUGAGGUGCGAAAGCGUGGGGAGCAAACAGGAUUAGAUACCCGAGUAGUCC
rnacentral:rRNA from 1 species